AACGAACGCUGGCGGCAUGCCUAACACAUGCAAGUCGAACGAGACCUUCGGGUCUAGUGGCGCACGGGUGCGUAACGCGUGGGAACCUGCCCUUAGGUUCGGAAUAACUCCCCGAAAGGGGUGCUAAUACCGGAUAAUGUCUUCGGACCAAAGAUUUAUCGCCUUUGGAUGGGCCCGCGUUGGAUUAGCUAGUUGGUAGGGUAAAAGCCUACCAAGGCGACGAUCCAUAGCUGGUCUGAGAGGAUGAUCAGCCACACUGGGACUGAGACACGGCCCAGACUCCUACGGGAGGCAGCAGUGGGGAAUAUUGGACAAUGGGCGAAAGCCUGAUCCAGCAAUGCCGCGUGAGUGAUGAAGGCCUUAGGGGUGUAAAGCUCUUUUACCCGGGAUGAUAAUGACAGUACCGGGAGAAUAAGCUCCGGCUAACUCCGUG
rnacentral:rRNA from 1 species